GCGAUUUCUCCGGAGGCAGAGAGUUGAAGAAGUAGCCUAACUAACUGGACAUAAUUUGAAGCCCCAGUGACAUAUUUACCAGGAUGAAUGAUGUCCUAUGUACAUGUUAAAUUGUACACUGAUAGUCCAUCACUCUUCGCAACUGUCAGUCGGGUUCUGGCAUGAUAAGAGCAUCAGAGGCGACACAGACUGAGAUUUCUUCAUGUUUUCCCAGAAAAACAAGAGAAAUUACUAAAUUGGACUUAAGUGAAAUCAUUUCAUUGUCGACCCCUAGUGAUCACAGGUGGUGAGCUGUAGCCAGGAAAUUGGGUCGGAACGAAUGCUGGACGGGAGGGAAGCAAAAAGAAACGAAGAAGCAAAAUGCAGCAUUAGAAAUCAGGAAAACAAGUCUUUUGGCUGUUCAUCCAAAAUGGUUCACAGCAACUGUAGGGGAAACAAUCCAUCAUGUGCAGGUCAACUUUGAAAUUACAUUUAAAUGUAAGACUAUAAAACAACUCUGUAACAAUGUAAAAAGUGCCCCUGGUACAUUAUUGUCAAGUCGUUCCCAGACUUCAGGGAAUACUCAGACGCUCACUUUUUGUUGCGUUAUAGUUGAUUGUAACAAAAUGUUGUAGUAUAUUAUUUUAUGAUAUAAGAUGUGAUGACAGUCACUGUGGAGCGAGAAAUCUUAUCAGUAGGUAGUAUGAGCAACGUUGAGUAAGACAGGAGUGCUAUGGGGCAGCUUUUCAAACACUGGACUGUUUUUUUUUGCUUACUCUGCCAGGAUGGUUUUGCAGUCCGUGUUUUCACAAUCAGCCAGUGGAAGAGUUCUCUGGCAGUGCAUGUGUUUGCUGUGACUGUGUUACAACUCUCGCUGAAUAAGAAACAUGCGUCUUUUCCCGAGUUCUCGCCGUCUUGUGUAGAUCUGCACUGUUUGCCUCCCUUUGAUACAACUUAAGGGUAACUGGUAUUCAACAUGUUUCCUUUGGAAAUCUGGGUUUGGUGCCAGCUGUAGUUUUUUCAAGAAUAUUGGUCAAAUCAAGUUUUGGUAUCUGCGGUUUAUUUUAACACGUUAUCUAGGUAUUUUUCAUGCUUCAGUUUAGUUUUGUGUGGGUAAUAAAUGUACCAAUCUACAGCCAGGCAGUUGACGACAUUGAUGCUGAAAAGGAAAAACUGAGGCAUAUUUUAUAGUGAUGCAGCAUAACUACCCACGGAAACUUAUAUGCGUUGUAGACCUCCAGUGUAUUUUGGACAUGAGGAGAAAUAAAUAUGGAAUCCUCGACA